rnacentral:lncRNA from 1 species
UUCCCCAACAAACAAGUUAAGAAUUGCUGGGAUUUUUUAUUUUUUAUUUUUUGCUUAGGAUUGCCUUGGCUAUGUGGGCUCUUUUUUGGUUCCAUAUGAAAUUUAAAGUAGUUUUUUCCGAAACCUCUGCCUCCCAGGUUCAAGUGAUUCUCCUCCCUCAGCCUCCCGAGUAGCUGGGAUUACAGGUGCCUGCCACAAUGCCCGGCUAAUUUUUUGUAUUUUUUAGUAAAGACAGGGUUUCACCACGUUGGCGAGGCUGGUCUCAAACUACUGACCUCAACUGAUCCACCCACCUCAGCCUCCCAAAGUGCUGGGAUUACAGGCGUGAGCCACUAUGCCCAGCAACUAUGUUGCUUUUCAAACUUAUUUCAAUUUGUAGUUCUGUAAAACUAUAUUGGAAGAAA